rnacentral:rRNA from 1 species
ACGGGGCGCAGCAGGUGCGAAAACUUUACAAUGCGGGCAACCGUGAUAAGGAAACCCCGAGUGCCACCAUGGGGUGGCUGUCCACCAGUGUAAAAAACUGGUGAAGAAAGGGCCGGGCAAGACCGGUGCCAGCCGCCGCGGUAAUACCGGCGGCUCGAGUGGUGGCCGCUUUUACUGGGCUUAAAGGGUCCGUAGCUUGAUUCAUGGGUCCCUUGAGAAAUCCAUCGGCUUAACUAAUGGGCGUUCAGGGGAAACUGUGAUUCUAGGGACCGGGAGAGGUGAGAGGUACUGCCGGGGUAGGAGUGAAAUCCUGUAAUCCCGGUGGGACGACCUAUGGCGAAGGCAUCUCACCAGAACGGCUCCGACAGUGAGGGACGAAAGCUGGGGGAGCAAACCGGAUUAGAUACCCGGGUAGUCCCAGCUGUAAACGAUGCGCGCUAGGUGUGUCAGUGAUCACGUACCACUGAGGUGCCGAAGGGAAACCGUGAAACGCGCCGCCUGGGGAGUACGGUCGCAAGGCUGAAACUUAAAGGAAUUGGCGGGGGAGCAC